GACGGAGGAGGCUAGCGUUGUUCGGAAUCACUGGGCGUAAAGCGCACGUAGGCGGUGUUGUAAGUUAGGGGUGAAAGCCCGGGGCUCAACCUCGGAACUGCCUCUAAGACUGCAACGCUAGAGUUCGGAAGAGGGUAGUGGAAUUCCCAGUGUAGAGGUGAAAUUCGUAGAUAUUGGGAAGAACACCGGUGGCGAAGGCGGCUACCUGGUCCGACACUGACGCUGAGGUGCGAAAGCGUGGGGAGCAAACAGG
rnacentral:rRNA from 1 species